rnacentral:lncRNA from 13 species
UGUGACACAAGGACACGGUGUGUGUGUGACGAUGUGUGUCACUAAACAGUCGCAGAGUAAUUACCUCACAGAUCAGGUUGGGCCUGUUCCAUCACACACACCGUGAGCAGACACACACAACUGACGGAUGUCACACACACCUCAGGGACUACAGCAGGGGUGUCAAACCACUAUGUUCCUCUACCUGACUCUUUACUUUCAACCUGACACGCCAUUCAUCACUGUGUUAGAUUAGCUGGGGGAGAGGUGAGCGAACGGCAGUAGGUGUAAGGGGGUAACGGACCCCUAGGGUGCGUCUGUCUUCCUCCCUCUGACUCCUCGUCAAACAGGUGGUUUAUGACAUGUUUGUAAAGCUGCCUCUACUCUUCCUGUUUCCUGUUUAUCCUUCCCUGUUUUACACCUCUGUUUCAUCCUGCUGUUUUUCCUCCACGAGGGAGUGUGUGGAAGGGGGAAAACAGGCAUAGUUAAAAGACAGGCCUACACACACACCCCUCCCCGGCGCCUGGAGUGAAAGCCUGUCAACCAGAUCCCACAUUACCCCAUCACCACACAAUCCUCCAGACUAACCCUAGACUAACAGCUCCAUGAGAGAGAGACAGACAGAGAGACCGACAGAGAGAGAGACAGGGAGAGAGAGCUUGGCCAGGGAAAACCCUCAUUACCCAAACAUCCUCCAGUGGUUUCUCUUCCAUCGCAAAGACAGACCACACAACCCCAACAAGCACAGAGCUCAGUGAACAUACACACAACCCCAACAAGCACAGAGAGCUCAGUGAACAUACACACAACCCCAACAAGCACAGAGAGCUCAGUGAACAUACACACAACCCCAACAAGCACAGAGCUCAGUGAACAUACACACAACCCCAACAAGCACAGAGAGCUCAGUGAACAUACACACAACCCCAACAAGCACAGAGAGCUCAGUGAACAUACACACAACCCCAACAAGCACAGAGAGCUCAGUGAACAUACACACAACCCCAACAAGCACAGAUAGCUCAGUGAACAUACACACAGAGAGAACUCAGUGAACAUACACACAGUCAUACACAGAGAACUCAGUGAACAUACACACAGUCACAAACAGAGAACUCAGUGAACAUACACACAGUCACACACAGAGAACUCAGUGAACAUACACACAGAGAACUCAGUGAACAUACUCAUGUGCCUACACACACUUCGCUCACCUCACUGUGUGUUCAAAUGCUGUGCAUUGUAGUUUCAGAGAAACCCUGGGACACACUGUAGUUCUAAUAGUCCAAUGUGAGGCCAGCCUCCUCCCUGCAUCUCUCCAAUAGACACAUAUGUAAACCCAUGCAAACUUUACAGUCUCUGUCAUUGAAAGCUAUCGGAGAUAAGGAAAUUCAAACUGGUCACCUUAGAUCUAGGCACACUGUGUAAACACACAGACACACACACAGCACCUUGUAGGCUCUAAUCACUGUCUAAACAGGGACAUAUGGCUUUUACCACUGCCAAACUGUCACCGGGAGGACUGAGGCCAUAGACACACCAGCUGCCUACUGUAGGUAGAGCACACUGUCAGAACAGUCAUAAAGUACAAUGACAGUACAGGAGGUAGAGGAACAAUGUUGCAACAAUAGAGGUUGUGUUUUAGGUAGAAAGAUAUUUUGUUUUGGUUGUUUUGUUUUGGUUGUUUUGGUUUUAAUCCGUUUUAGUUUUCUAACACUGAGCAAUACAUCUGCAGGCAGCUCCACGUUGUACUUGACAUAGUCCAAUAAAUACAAUGUAACACUUUGCGUUAUAAUUUCCAUACGUCAAGCUCCAAUCAGCAGCGUGCAGUGACAGAGGAGAGCAGCAACAUGGCGGAUUAUUCUGAGGUCAUUGAGCCUUAUCAGCAGCGGGUAAACAAAUAACCCGCUUCUUCUGGCUACUGAUAACCUCAGUACACAGCACAGUGCGACUCUGCACACUGGCCCGACGCCUUUUCCGUGUAGUGUGUGUG